GAAACACAGAGUGGGAGAGAGAAGGGGGGAGGACGGAAGAGAGAGACAAGAGACAGAGCAGAGGUGUAAAAGAACAUAUCUGCGGGGGAGAGAGAUCCCUAAAUUAUCCUGAUAAUCUGGAGUGUUCUGGCUGAAUAAUAUUGAGAAACAUUCUGUGCUGAUACCGUAUUGCAUGAGGAACCCAUUUACACAAUAGGACAUUAUACAGCUACCAUCUCCUCUAACGGUAAAUUGAAAAUUGCGCCAUCAACCGGACUCCCACGUUACUAAAGAGACUUGUUGCAUUGGACUUGCAUUCUUACUAGGGCAGCUUUGGAACGGACUCCUCAAAUGAAACUCCAUUACAUCUCCUGACUUGAUAUCCAGGGUAACAUAUACCUUUUUAAAUGCUACAUAUGAAUUCACUAUUUUUUGUGUUUUGUAUGCAUUGUGUGCUUUUUAUUAAAAUGUUAUUUUUAAA